rnacentral:rRNA from 1 species
UACGCAGGUGGCAAGCGUUGUCCGGAAUUAUUGGGCGUAAAGCGCGCGCAGGCGGCCUUUUAAGUCUGAUGUGAAAUCUUGCGGCUCAACCGCAAGCGGCCAUUGGAAACUGGGAGGCUUGAGUACAGAAGAGGAGAGUGGAAUUCCACGUGUAGCGGUGAAAUGCGCAGAUAUCAGGAGGAACACCCGUGGCGAAAGCGGCUCUCUGGGACGGUACUGACGCUGAGGUGCGAAAGCGUGGGGAGCAAACAGG